UGGGGAAUUUUGGACAAUGGGGGAAACCCUGAUCCAGCCAUCCCGCGUGUGCGAUGAAGGCCUUCGGGUUGUAAAGCACUUUUGGCAGGAAAGAAACGUCGCGGGUUAAUACCCCGCGAAACUGACGGUACCUGCAGAAUAAGCACCGGCUAACUACGUGCCAGCAGCCGCGGUAAUACGUAGGGUGCAAGCGUUAAUCGGAAUUACUGGGCGUAAAGCGUGCGCAGGCGGUUCGGAAAGAAAGAUGUGAAAUCCCAGAGCUUAACUUUGGAACUGCAUUUUUAACUACCGGGCUAGAGUGCGUCAGAGGGAGGUGGAAUUCCGCGUGUAGCAGUGAAAUGCGUAGAUAUGCGGAGGAACACCGAUGGCGAAGGCAGCCUCCUGGGAUAACACUGACGCUCAUGCACGAAAGCGUGGGGAGCAAACAGGAUUAGAUACCCUGGUAGUCCACGCCCUAAACGAUGUCAACUAGCUGUUGGGGCCUUCGGGCCUUGGUAGCGCAGCUAACGCGUGAAGUUGACCGCCUGGGGAGUACGGUCGCAAGAUUAAAACUCAAAGG
rnacentral:rRNA from 1 species